AGAAUAUGCAAAAUAAAAAAAAUAUAGAUGAAAGGUUGUAAAAAAGAGGAAUCAAAGAAUCAACUUUUUCAAUUUGCAGAUUAGGAACAGCACAAGGGAAAGAGAGUUUUGGAGCAACGGUAAAGUUAUCUCUGUGUGACCUAUAGUUCAUGGUUUUCAAGACGUGGAAUCAAGGUAAGAUUGUCUACAUUACAUCCCGUUGGGGUGCAGGAGCAACAAUAAAGUUGUGUUCGUGUAGUCUACUAAUCACGGAUUUCGAGCUAUAGAAUCAACUACUAGUGUCAGAGUAAAUUAUAUCUACAUCACAUGAACCUUGUGUGAACGUGAGAUUCUUCGUUCACCGGGCUAUCAUUUUCAUUAGCUACAAAUAUAGCAGACACAUAGGUUAUGAAAAGUCAAAAGUUAGAUUUGUUUUGUAGUUUAAGUUAUCUUUUUGCUAAUCAACAUUAGCAACAAGACAUUAGAAAAAGGACACAAGUUCAUCAAAUAUUAUUGCAAGAUACUUCAUAGAGAUUGAUACAACUAAAUGUGUACAAUGUACACAUUCAAAACACAUGAAACCUCAAAUAGCCUUAAAGAACAUCAAAGGCGGCACAUUUAUGUUGCUUGGAAUCUUCAAGAAGAAGCUUUGACACAAACAGCAGGGAAAUUCAGUACCAAAAUUUUUUCAACUACAGUGACAAAAAUAGCCGAAAAUUCGACUUCUUUCACAACACAAGCUUCAUAAUCUUCUUUGCUGCUGAAUGUCAUUAUCAUAGCAUGAGUAUAACCUUGUGUAACCAUUUCAUUGCUUUCAGUAUCUUUUCCCC